rnacentral:misc_RNA from 1 species
UGAAGAGUUUUGUGCUGCUGCAAUCAGCACAUAUCAAUUGGAGGCUCUCGAGGAAUGGGAGCAGAUUGCAGCCGUGGCAUUCCAGCAUUUUGAGCAAGAGGGGAAUCGGCAUGUUUCCGUGGAGGAAUUGGCUAGGGAGUUGAAUGUGGGUCCAACUGCUCAUUCCAUUCUCAGAGAUUGGAUAAGAAAUGAUGGAAAACUCAACAUGCUUGGAUAUACAAAAUUUUUGCAUGGUGUCACUCUUCGUAGUACACCUGUGAGACGUCAUUAGCUCCUCAUCAAAAAAAUAUAUAUAUAUGAGACAUCAUUAGAUACUCUCUUUUCAAAUAGCGUUUGGCAAGUGAUAGAAAUUAACUGUUGAUUGAAAA